rnacentral:misc_RNA from 1 species
UCUUGCCCUGCUCUUUUCCGCGAUGACUUAGGUUCAAAGACUGUCCAUAGGCGUAAUGUUAAUUAUGCCAUUUGGGAGGGGCAAUUUCCCUAUUUGCCCUCCCCUGGAUCCGCCACUGUCCAGAAUGGCAAUUAAAUCAAAAGGAUUUGUUCAAACUUAAAUGCUUAAUCUUAUUUGUUGUCACAAAACAUGCUGUUACGAAAAUGAAGCAUGUACCAGGGCCCAGGCACUAC